UAAGGAUACGACGUGCAAGUGAGCAGAGCAUCCAGUGGCAAUAACAAAGCUCGGGACGAGUGUUCUAAGCAGUUACGUCAUGCGUGUGAAGCUUAGCUUGGCAGAAGUUACUGGCGCGUACAAUUCAAGUUAAUGUGUAGACGUCGAGCGGUAUAACCUUUAGCAGCUGCACAAACUAUUUAUGUUUCAUCAAGUGUUCAGUGAAAAUCAGUUGUUCUACAACGGAAAAUGAGACGUCGUCACAAGUGUGACACACGCCUCUAUGCAUAAUCGCCGAUUAGUUUUCGACGAAGUGAGUCUUUUCCUUCGUGCAAAACAUCGCUGUUCCCAAUAAUUUUAUCUAAAAUGAUGAUUUUCAACGACAUAACAUGUAUGGGACUCGGUCACACAGCAUCAAGAUAACAGCGCCGCAAACCACUGUACCACUGUCAGGAGAAGAGGUUCCAGAAACACCUGGCCUGUUAUACCAAAUAUAACGAAACACGAAGUUGGAUGUGACAGUGCAGUUGGAUACAGAGGUGGUGGAAGCAGUGCAGUUCCUCUUCAGGUUGCAUUCAAAACUUUUAUAAGAAAAUGAGAUUCAUCAGAUGUAAUGAGAAUGCUGUUACAUUAUGAAAAUUAUUUGGUAACCAAUAUCUGAAGCUGGACUGCUGAGAAUCUUUGUAUCAGAGAAGAGCUUGAAAUACCACUGGCUGGGGGAAAAAAAAGUCUUGAUAGAUGAAGAAUGAAUGAAAAACACUGUUGCUUCUAACAUGCUGUAUGACUGUGGCAUAUCUUUGGUGCAGGGUCAAAGGGGCUCACGUCAAAACUAUAAACUCUUUUUGAGUAGAGCUACAGCAAAGACCACAAUCCUCUCUAAAAUCCAAAUAGGUGAUCAAGAGUGUGACCCUAGUAAAAAAUAAAGAGGCAGGUGAAACAGAAAGAGACAAUUGUAAAUCGAAUAUUAGAUGACUUCCAUUCAUCCACUAGAGGACAGCACCAGGUGAUGGACAAGAGCUACUGGAUGAGAAAUAUUGAGAGUGGACUGGGUUAUCAAAAGAAGAAGAAGCAGGAGUCAAGUCGAAGGAAGGAAGGAGGUUAGAGUUUAACAUAUUAUGGACAGCACAGCCAUUACAGACUAAAGCAGAGUCAAGUGGAGUGGGGGUAAGGAGAAUUGAAACUACAUGGAUGAUGAAUUAAUGUGCAACUUUUUUAUGAACUGAUAAAUAGUAAGGUUUUGGUUUGUAUAAAUUGAGAUGAGGAGUGUGACUUAAUUCAUUUUCACACCACAGAAAUUGUUACUAAUUUUAUGAAUUUUCCGUAAUGACAAAUUGUAGAAAGUUUAAUUGUUAUGUGAAGAAGCUGUCUCAGUUUUUGGUGUUAUAACUGAAAAGGUUUUGAAUAUAGUGCAACUGCAUCUACAGUAAAAAGUGUGUAAUAUUAAUUUCAAUUUUCUGAAUAUCCUGGUCCUAGCUUUUUCAGCAUGGAAUG